rnacentral:rRNA from 1 species
ACGGAGAGUUUGAUCCUGGCUCAGGAUGAACGCUGGCGGCGUGCCUAAUACAUGCAAGUCGAACGGACCACUUUUCUUCGGAGGAGUGGUCAGUGGCGUCCGGGUGAGUAACACGUAGGUGACCUACCCCGAAGUGGGGAAUAACUACCCGAAAGGGUUGCUAAUUCCGCAUGUGCUCCGGCAUUCGGUUGUCGGAGUAAAGCCGAAAGGCGCUUCGGGAGGGGCCUGCGGCCGAUUAGCUAGUUGGUAGGGUAAUGGCCUACCAAGGCGAAGAUCGGUAGCUGGUCUGAGAGGAUGAUCAGCCACACUGGCACUGAAACACGGGCCAGACUCCUACGGGAGGCAGCAGUAAGGAAUAUUGCACAAUGGGCGAAAGCCUGAUGCAGCAACGCCGCGUGGGUGAAGAAGGCCUUCGGGUCGUAAAACCCUUUUCUGGGGGACGAGGAAGGACGGUACCCCAGGAAGAAGCACCGGCUGACUACGUGCCAGCAGCCGCGGUAACACGUAGGGUGCGAGCGUUAUCCGGAUUUACUGGGCGUAAAGCGCGCGCAGGCGGUGUCGUAAGUUGGACGUGAAAUCUUUCGGCUCAACCGGGAGGCGCCGUUCAAUACUGCGACACUUGAGGGCAGAAGAGGGGAGUGGAAUUCCCGGUGUAGGGGUAAAAUCCUUAGAGAUCGGGAGGAACACCAGUGGCGAAGGCGGCUCCCUGGCCUGUUCCUGACGCUGAGGCGCGAAAGCGUGGGGAGCGAACGGGAUUAGAUACCCCGGUAGUCCACGCCGUAAACGAUGGGUACUGGGUGUGGGGAGUAUUGUAUCUCUCCGUGCCGAAGCUAACGCGUUAAGUACCCCGCCUGGGGACUACGGCCGCAAGGCUAAAACUCAAAGGAAUUGACGGGGGCCCGCACAAGCAGCGGAGCGUGUGGUUUAAUUCGAUGCUACACGAAGAACCUUACCUGGGCUUGACAUGCGCGUAGUAGUGAACCGAAAGGGGAACGAGCC